AAGCCACAAAUUGCAUCGGUGCCGCAGUUUGCAUCUUCUGUUUCCUGUCUGGUGCUUAUUAGUUACACUUGUGAUCAUAUUCGUAUUAUAUUCCUUUUCAUUUCUUUGUUAGAAUGAUUCUUUACACUUGUCGUCUGCUGAACUCAUCAGGCCUCAAAAGUUUUAUCAAGAAAACAUGGUCAGAAUCCUAGCUAACAACACAUGCACAACUUCCGUGGAUAGAGAGGAGAGCAAAUUGGAUGCUCAAGAUAAAACGUCAGAGAAGCCACCUAAGGUUCCGGUAUGCCUCUCCAUACAAUUGGCUAAUCUACUUUACUUCAGUGAUAGUGUGGUACGUACUCUGCAAAUUUUAUCUAUAAAAUUACUUUUGUUAUUUUAGCUCUUGAAGUCGCUUUGGUUUACACUUUGGGAAGAGCAUUGCUGACACGGAGAGGUUUGCGAAAGAUGAAUCUACAUUUGAGUCAUCCCAACCUUCUAAAUUUGUAUGGAAUCCAUUUCCUUCAACCUUCAAAAAAAAGUUAGCAAUGGAGAAAUCAAUCAUAAAAAUAGUACAGAUGUGAAUACAAGAAUUCGGUUUGGAAAUUAUGCAAGUAACUUGGGAAGUGAAUACUGUGUUUUUGGUGAACCAACUGUUGAAGUAGUAGAGAAUCAUAUAACCACGUCUGAUUAAUUUGUUUUCUUUUUUUAUGAAAGUGGUAGAGUACAAUCCCUGAAUAUGGCAUAAUUUUGUCAAUGUGUUGGCCAAAGUAGAGUAUAGACAUAGUUUGUCCCACAUUUCUGCUUACCUAAUUAUUUGGAAUCUUGUAGGCAGCGAAGUUAUUAUCAAAGUUGAAUAUUGGUAAACUUGGGAAAGACAAAGAUGGAAGCAUUCAACAAAGUGAUUUCACUAACAUUUCAGUAAGCCGUGGAGUGACCGGUGAGCCAUAUUUCCCAAGACUUUUUAAGGUGACAACUUCAUAUAACUGUGUUGUUGAUACUGAUUAUGAGGAAAAAAAUAAAGAAUAUUGUCCCUUAUCUGGAAGGAGGAGAUAUGUAAACAUAAUGUUGGGAAAAACACCACCCAAAGACUGUUGUUGUUGAUAAAUUAAAUGAAUAAUAAGAAAGAAAAACAAACAAAGAGACACCAAGAUUAUCAAACCACGAGACACCAAGAUUAUCAAACCACGAGACACCAAGAAUUUUACGUGAAAAACCCUCUAAAACUAAGAGGUAAAAACCACGGGUCGAUCUCCGAAAAAUCCACUAUAAUAAACUGAGAGAAUACAAAAAUAUCUUAAUUUGAAUACAAACCCAAAUUACUUCACCACAAUAGCUAUGUGAUGGAACCCAAAUAAAACUCCUAUUUAUUUGAACUACCUUUCUCUCUCUAUUUUCUAAAGCUUCAUAAAAGCUUCUUUCUCUCACUCUCUAUUUCUUCCAACUCUUGGAUUGCUCUCGGAUGAGACUUGAGAGAGAGUUGG
rnacentral:lncRNA from 1 species